UAGGGAAUAUUGGACAAUGGGCGCAAGCCUGAUCCAGCCAUGCCGCGUGAGUGAAGAAGGCCUUAGGGUUGUAAAGCUCUUUUGGUGGGGAAGAUAAUGACGGUACCCACAGAAUAAGCCCCGGCUAACUUCGUGCCAGCAGCCGCGGUAAUACGAAGGGGGCUAGCGUUGUUCGGAAUCACUGGGCGUAAAGCGCACGCAGGCGGACUGAUAAGUCGGGGGUGAAAUCCCGGGGCUCAACCUCGGAAUUGCCUUCGAUACUGCCAGUCUAGAGUCCGGGAGAGGUGAGUGGAAUUCCUAGUGUAGAGGUGAAAUUCGUAGAUAUUAGGAAGAACACCAGUGGCGAAGGCGGCUCACUGGCCCGGUACUGACGCUCAGGUGCGAAAGCGUGGGGAGCAAACA
rnacentral:rRNA from 1 species